rnacentral:rRNA from 1 species
UAACUAGGAUUUCCUUAGUAGCGGCGAGCGAACAGGAAUAAGCCCAGCACUGAAUCCCGACGUUGUAACGGCGUCGGGAGAUGUGGUGUUCGGGAGGUUCCGCUUUCUCGUCGUCGUCCACUCCUGUCCAAGUUCGUCUUGAACGGGGCCCAUUUCCCAUAGAGGGUGCCAGGCCCGUAGCGACGGAGGAUGGCGGCGAGAGGGACACUCCUCAGAGUCGGGUUGCUUGAGAGUGCAGCCCUAAGUGGGUGGUAAACUCCAUCUAAGGCUAAAUAUUACCGCGAGACCGAUAGCGAACA